UACGUAGGGGGCAAGCGUUGUCCGGAAUUAUUGGGCGUAAAGCGCGCGUAGGCGGCCCGUUAAGUCGGAUGUGAAAACCCGUGGCUCAACCACGGGCCUGCAUCCGAUACUGGCGGGCUCGAGGCAGGCAGGGGAGAUCGGAAUCCUGGUGUAGCGGUGAAAUGCGCAGAUAUCAGUAGGAACACCGGUGGCGAAGGCGGAUCUCUGGGCCUUACCUGACGCUGAGGCGCGAAAGCUAGGGGAGCAAACAGG
rnacentral:rRNA from 1 species